UGUCUCAGACAAGAAGCUUAUCACAGACCUAUACCGAGAUCCAUGAGGAUAAGAAUCUCUGAGGAAGG
rnacentral:snoRNA from 1 species